rnacentral:tRNA from 1 species
GCGGGCGUAGCCGAACUGGUAGAGGCGCCAGACUUAGGCUCUGGUCGGCGUGAGCCGGUGGGGGUUCGAGUCCCUCCGCCCGCACCA